AACAAUUUCAGCUGUUUCUUAUUCUAAAUGAUUUCGGUCUUCCUUCUAUCCCAACAAUUGCGUCUUGAAGAUGGUCUGCAGGGGACCACCUGGGAGUUUGUUAACAAUGCCCUACCCAAAUAAGAAUCCCCAGGGACCUGAGAGUCUGUGUUUCAGAACAAGUUCCUGGCUGAGUCUUCAGAGACUGUGAGUGCUCCAACUGCAUUGUCACUCCUCUCUGUGUCCCCAGUCCUCGUGGGCCUGAUUGUUGAACAGAACACUCAGCUGCAAGGGUUCCUCUUCAUUCACCGAGUCAGCAAGAUUGGUGCCAUCUCCCAUUGCAGGCGCCUGAAGCCCAACGUGAAAAGGAUAACACUUGGACUCAUGAAUUUCAGGAUUGCUGAGCUGUAUGGCAAGUGUACGUUUAACUUCAAGAGAAACUGCCAAACUGUAUUCCAAAGUGGCUGUAUGGUCCCACCGGGAAAGGAUGAAAGUUCCAGUUGUUUCACAUCUCUACUGGCUCUUGGAAGUGCCAAACUAUUUUCUGCAGAGGCCAUAUGAUUUUACAUUCCCACCAGCAAUGCACAGGGGUUUCAAUGUCUCCGCAUACUUACCAAUACUUCAUACCUUUGUGGAAAAUCAGUUGACUACAGGUGUACAGG